UCUUGGGGUCUGGGUCUCUAUCUAACUGUGCUUUGAUACUGAAAGUUGUACCAUGAUCUCAUGGAGGGAUUUGGGGAUAGUGGGGUGUGGCUGGAGAAAUCUGGGCUGGAAAGCAAGGAGCUCCACUCAUCUGACAGAGAUAAAACUGCCAGCUGAGAAGGCGUUGGCAUCUGAUAACGGCCCAGCUGAUUUAUGGAGGGAGAGCCUGAAGGUGAAUUAUUCAUUCUCUCGGGUUACGGAUUAGCUUUUCUCCUUUUUAAUGGAUUUUAGUUGCUGUGUGUUUAUGUUUUCUGAGAUGGAUGUGAAGUCACCCAAACCCUAAUAUCCUCACACACCAAGCCGUGAGGAAAUCACAUUAAAUGUCUGGAUUGAAACCGA